rnacentral:rRNA from 1 species
GACGAACGCUGGCGGCGUGCCUAAUACAUGCAAGUAGAACGCUGAAGGAGGAGCUUGCUUCUCUGGAUGAGUUGCGAACGGGUGAGUAACGCGUAGGUAACCUGCCUGGUAGCGGGGGAUAACUAUUGGAAACGAUAGCUAAUACCGCAUAAGAGUAGAUGUUGCAUGACAUUUGCUUAAAAGGUGCAAUUGCAUCACUACCAGAUGGCCCUGCGUUGUAUUAGCUAGUUGGUGGGGUAACGGCUCACCAAGGCGACGAUACAUAGCCGACCUGAGAGGGUGAUCGGCCACACUGGGACUGAGACACGGCCCAGACUCCUACGGGAGGCAGCAGUAGGGAAUCUUCGGCAAUGGACGGAAGUCUGACCGAGCAACGCCGCGUGAGUGAAGAAGGUUUUCGGAUCGUAAAGCUCUGUUGUAAGAGAAGAACGAGUGUGAGAGUGGAAAGUUCACACUGUGACGGUAUCUUACCAGAAAGGGACGGCUAACUACGUG